rnacentral:rRNA from 1 species
AUUGAACGCUGGCGGCAUGCCUUACACAUGCAAGUCGAACGGCAGCAUAGGAGCUUGCUCCUGAUGGCGAGUGGCGAACGGGUGAGUAAUAUAUCGGAACGUGCCCUAGAGUGGGGGAUAACUAGUCGAAAGAUUAGCUAAUACCGCAUACGAUCUACGGAUGAAAGUGGGGGAUCGCAAGACCUCAUGCUCCUGGAGCGGCCGAUAUCUGAUUAGCUAGUUGGUGGGGUAAAAGCCUACCAAGGCGACGAUCAGUAGCUGGUCUGAGAGGACGACCAGCCACACUGGGACUGAGACACGGCCCAGACGCCUACGGGAGGCAGCAGUGGGGAAUUGUGGACAAUGGGGGCAACCCUGAUCCAGCAAUGCCGCGUGAGUGAAGAAGGCCUUCGGGUUGUAAAGCUCUUUUGUCAGGGAAGAAACGGUUCUGGAUAAUACCCAGAGCUAAUGACGGUACCUGAAGAAUAAGCACCGGCUAACUACGUGCCAGCCGCCGCGGUAA